CCCUCCAGCAUUGGGCAAAGAGACAACCUUGUUGGUGGUGUUGUUUUUAUAUCAGUCAGGGGGCAGAGAAGAUGGCAAUCCUUUGUUCAUCCUAGUUUGAUACCUGGCUUGGUGGCCAAAGCUGUCUUAUGCCUCGGACUCAUAA